rnacentral:rRNA from 1 species
UGGCGGCGUGCUUAACACAUGCAAGUCGAACGAGAAAGCAGGCUUCGGCCUGUUAGUACAGUGGCAGACGGGUGAGUAACACGUGGGUAACGUGCCCGGAGUGGGGGAUAACUUCUCGAAAGAGGGGCUAAUACCGCAUAACAUCUCGAGCUCUUUGGCGCUCGAGCUCAAAGCUGGCCUCUACAUGUAAGCUAGCGCCACCGGAGCGGCCCGCGGCCCAUUAGCUUGUUGGUGAGGUAACGGCUCACCAAGGCGACGAUGGGUAGCCGGCCUGAGAGGGUGAUCGGCCACACUGGAACUGAGACACGGUCCAGACUCCUACGGGAGGCAGCAGUGAGGAAUUUUGCGCAAUGGGGGAAACCCUGACGCAGCGACGCCGCGUGGAGGACGAAGGUCUUCGGAUCGUAAACUCCUGUCAAGAGGGACGAAUGCAUCGUGGAUGAAUAAGUCACGGUGUUGACGGUACCUCUGGAGGAAGCCCCGGCUAACUCCGUG